AAAAAAAUAAAUUCUAUGUGAAAAAUUUUACAAAUAAAUAAAUUUUUUAUGGUUUAAUAAUUUUAUUUUAAGUUUAUUUUACAUGUAAAUUUUAGUGUUGUAUGUUAAUUAUUUAAAUAAUAUUUAAUUUUUUUGCAGUAAUUAACUUUAAAAAUUUAAGAAAUUAAGAUUUAGUAAUAUUUAAAUUAAUAACUAAUUUUGUGCCAGCAGUUGCGGUUAAACAAAAAUUAAUUUAAAAUUUUUUAGUUAAUAAUAAUUAGUUAAAAUUAAUAAUUUAAAUUGAAAAUUAUUAGGUGAAAUUUUAAUUUUAUAAAAAUUUAUUUUAUAAUUAUGAAUUAAUAAAUUUUAUAAAAAACUAGGAUUAGAUACCCUAUUAUUAAAAAAUUAAAUUUAUAAUGCUAAAAUAGUAGAUAGUUUAUUGAAACUUAAAUAAUUUGGCGGUAUUUUAGUUUAUUUAGAGGAAUCUGUUUAAUAAUUGAUAAUCCACGAAUAAAUUUACUUAAUUUAAAAAUUUUGUAUAUCGUUGUUAAAAAAAUAUUUUUUAAUAAUAAUAAUAUUUGAAAAUUUAAAUUUAAAAUUAAAUCAGAUCAAGAUGCAGAUUAUAAUUAAGAAUAUAAUGGAUUACAAUAAAUUUAUUUAAAUUGGAAUUUAAUAUGGAAAGAUUAAAUAAAAUUGGAUUUAAAUGUAAUUUUAUAAAAUUUUAUAGGAUGAUUAAUAAUUAAAAUAUGUACAUAUUGCCCGUCGCUUUCAUUUAUAAAUUGGAAUAAGUCGUAACAAAGUAGAGGUACUGGAAAGUGUUUCUAGAAAGAU
rnacentral:ncRNA from 1 species